GAUGAACGCUGGCGGCGUGCCUAAUACAUGCAAGUCGAACGAAACUUCUUUAUCACCGAGUGCUUGCACUCACCGAUAAAGAGUUGAGUGGCGAACGGGUGAGUAACACGUGGGCAACCUGCCCAAAAGAGGGGGAUAACACUUGGAAACAGGUGCUAAUACCGCAUAACCAUAGUUACCGCAUGGUAACUAUGUAAAAGGUGACUAUACUACCGCUUUUGGAUGGGCCCGCGGCGCAUUAGCUAGUUGGUAGGGUAAAGGCUUACCAAGGCAAUGAUGCGUAGCCGAAUUGAGAGGUUGAUCGGCCACAUUGGGACUGAGACACGGCCCAAACUCCUACGGGAGGCAGCAGUAGGGAAUCUUCCACAAUGGGCGAAAGCCUGAUGGAGCAACGCCGCGUGGGUGAAGAAGGUCUUCGGAUCGUAAAACCCUGUCGUUAGAGAAGAAAGUGCGUGAGAGUAACUGUUCACGUUUCGACGGUAUCUAACCAGAAAGCCACGGCUAACUACGUG
rnacentral:rRNA from 1 species